rnacentral:rRNA from 1 species
UGGGGAAUUUUGGACAAUGGGCGCAAGCCUGAUCCAGCCAUGCCGCGUGCGGGAAGAAGGCCUUCGGGUUGUAAACCGCUUUUGUCAGGGAAGAAAUCUUCUGAGUUAAUACCUCGGGAGGAUGACGGUACCUGAAGAAUAAGCACCGGCUAACUACGUGCCAGCAGCCGCGGUAAUACGUAGGGUGCAAGCGUUAAUCGGAAUUACUGGGCGUGAAGCGUGCGCAGGCGGUUUUGUAAGACAGAGGUGAAAUCCCCGGGCUCAACCUGGGAACUGCCUUUGUGACUGCAAGGCUUGAGUGCGGCAGAGGGGGAUGGAAUUCCGCGUGUAGCAGUGAAAUGCGUAGAUAUGCGGAGGAACACCGAUGGCGAAGGCAAUCCCCUGGGCCUGCACUGACGCUCAUGCACGAAAGCGUGGGGAGCAAACAGGAUUAGAUACCCUGGUAGUCCACGCCCUAAACGAUGUCAACUGGUUGUUGGGAAGGUUCCUUCUCAGUAACGUAGCUAACGCGUGAAGUUGACCGCCUGGGGAGUACGGCCGCAAGGUUGAAACUUAAAUGAAUUGAC